rnacentral:rRNA from 1 species
GAUGAACGCUGGCGGCGUGCCUAAUACAUGCAAGUCGAGCGAACGGACGAGAAGCUUGCUUUUCUGAUGUUAGCGGCGGACGGGUGAGUAACACGUGGUUAACCUACCUAUAAGACUGGGAUAACUUCGGGAAACCGGAGCUAAUACCGGAUAAUAUUUUGAACCGCAUGGUUCAAAAGUGAAAGACGGUCUUGCUGUCACUUAUAGAUGGAUCCGCGCUGCAUUAGCUAGUUGGUAAGGUAACGGCUUACCAAGGCAACGAUGCAUAGCCGACCUGAGAGGGUGAUCGGCCACACUGGAACUGAGACACGGUCCAGACUCCUACGGGAGGCAGCAGUAGGGAAUCUUCCGCAAUGGGCGAAAGCCUGACGGAGCAACGCCGCGUGAGUGAUGAAGGUCUUCGGAUCGUAAAACUCUGUUAUUAGGGAAGAACAUAUGUGUAAGUAACUGUGGACAUCUUGACGGUACCUAAUCAGAAAGCCACGGCUAACUACGUG